UUUACAGGUUACCUGUAAAAGUCAAACUGCAUCCUUUUGCUGAAGAAGCAUGGCAGCCAGUCUAUGGGAAGAAGAAUGGUGGCCAAAAAACCAGAACCAAUUAGAUGAGCCCUUCAAUCUUUUUCCUCCUGAUAAAACGGCUUCUGAGAUGGCACUCCAGUUGGAAAGAAGAUGGUCUUGGGAGCACCUGAGGAGAAAUUAAGUCCUUUACUGCUGAACCACUGCAGGAAUGCUGCUGAAUGACACAUUGGAAACUCAAAGAACAAUCUGAGUAGUUGAAGCUAUUCCCUCAGGAUGGUGCCUCACAGACAAACAUCCCAAAAGGAUUGUUUUUGCCUUGAGAAAGAGUUUGCAAGAGAAAUGAUGCUUCUUUAAUGGACUGUGUAAAGGAAGUCGGUAUAUCCAAGCAUGCCUUGUGCUCAAUCCUGAGAGAUGCUGAGCAUCUAUAACUCCCAUUAGAGCAGGGGGAGCAGAGGCGACUCUGCCCCUGUCUGGAUCAGGCCCCACUUUAGAACAAAUAUUCUUCUAUUUAUAGAUUUGAAGUGGCCUGAUGGUUUUCUGUCAUCUUCUAAUGGGCUGUUGUUUUACUCCUGUGCAUGCCCAUAACAUUACAAAUCUGACACUCACGUGCUGCUGUGCAAGCACAGGUUCAAAAAUAUCCAUGGAAAAGCGAACAAUUUCCUUCUCCAUUUUACAGAAGAGUCAACUGAAGCAUACCAAUAUCUGCCAAAUUAGUUUCCCAUCUUAAUGUUACUAAUAAUUGAUUCCCUUUGUAAAGUACCUUGAAAUCUACUGAUCAAAAUGAGCAGAGCAAGGCAUUAUUUACUACAUGAUUAUUAUAAUAAGCAUCCUGGAGAAGCAGCCUGAGGAUCUAUAAAGCACAAGAGUCUUUAUCUGCAGGUCUGGUUAGAAUCCAAACACAGGGCUGUUGCAAAGCAAAAGUUUCCACCUUAUGGCUAUUUGUAAACCUAUACCCAAGAGAUCAGUAUUCUUUUUCUAGAACAACUGUCCCUGCAGAAAAAACCAAGGACUGAAGGGGUGCGGUGAAUAAAUUGCCUUCUUACCUCCAGAACAUUAACUGGUCCUCCAGCAGAGGGUUGCAGUACACGGUUGUGUUGAGGAGCUGGUACUGACAUUGCCUAUUCUGCAGAAAAGCAGAGCUGUCUGUAAUUCCAGCAUCUAAGUCACAUGACAAAUGUAAAAAUAAAGAGGAGAUGGGAACAAAAAA